rnacentral:lncRNA from 1 species
AGCUCCCUAUUCUUCUACUCUUCAGAAACAAAGAAGAAGAAAUAUCUACCUCUAUCUCUUUCUAUCUCUAUCUUUCCACUCUAUCUCUCUAUCUCUAUCUCUCUCUAUCUUUUUCCUCUGUAAGAACAAGAAGCUGAAGGUUCAUAAAAAAAAACCAUGGAUUUCUACUAAAUCAACACACAAAAUUCGUUUUUGGUGAAGAUCAAGUUGCUCCUCUUGGUAAGUUUCUAUAACCCGUUUUUAUACUAGACAUCUACUAGUAUUUUCUAUAUAUCUUUUUGUACAGAGCUCCAAUUUAAGUGAUCUAGGACUUUCUGGAAAGGUAUUUUAUAAAUCUACAACUCUUAUGAAGGAAUCGAAAUCUAGUUUUGUCGGUAUAUACCUGAAAAAUGGUCAAAAAGUACAGGGCAGGUGCUGUCCAGAUUUUCAGUUCUUGAAAUACUCUAUGUACUGCUGUUAGUAAAUUUAGCAUAACUUUUUUUUCAAAAUUGAUAUGGUGGUUAUUCAAGAUUUUCUGAAACGGUAAGACAUAGAUCUACAACUUUUGUGAAGACUAUAAAGUCUAUUUCGUCCGUAUAGAUCUUCAAAACUGAGUCACACCUUGGAACAGUGAUACUGUCCAGAAUUUCUGUUUCAAACGUUUUUGGGUAAUUUUCACCAAUAUCAUGUUUAGUUGACUUGUUAAAUCACUGAACUUAUUUAGAUAUUUGAUUAUGUAUUUAAGGUAUAUAAAC